rnacentral:rRNA from 1 species
CCUACGGGAGGCUGCAGUGGGGAAUAUUGGACAAUGGGGGGAACCCUGAUCCAGCCAUGCCGCGUGUGUGAAGAAGGCCCUCGGGUUGUAAAGCACUUUCAGUGAGGAAGAACGCCUGGUGGUUAAUACCCAUCAGGAAAGACAUCACUCACAGAAGAAGCACCGGCUAACUCCGUGCCAGCAGCCGCGGUAAUACGGAGGGUGCGAGCGUUAAUCGGAAUUACUGGGCGUAAAGCGCGCGUAGGUGGCUUGAUAAGCCGGUUGUGAAAGCCCCGGGCUCAACCUGGGAACGGCAUCCGGAACUGUCAAGCUAGAGUGCAGGAGAGGAAGGUAGAAUUCCCGGUGUAGCGGUUAAAUGCGUAGAGAUCGGGAGGAAUACCAGUGGCGAAGGCGGCCUUCUGGACUGACACUGACACUGAGGUGCGAAAUCGUGGGUAGCAAACAGGAUUAGAUACCCGGGUAGUC